UCGAAAUCGGUAGACGCUACGGACUCAAAAUCCGUUGGCUUUUUAGACCGUGAGGGUUCAAGUCCCUCUACCCCCA
rnacentral:tRNA from 3 species